GACGAACGCUGGCGGCGUGGAUUAGGCAUGCAAGUCGAACGGUAUCAUCCUUUCGGGGGUGAGAGAGUGGCGAACUGGUGAGUAACACGUAGGUUAUCUACCCUCAAGACGGGGACAACCCAGGGAAACUUGGGCUAAUACCGGAUGUGAGCAACUUUUUAGUUGUUUGAAAGGUGGCGUAAGCUGUCGCUUGGGGAUGAGCCUGCGUCCUAUUAGUUAGUUGGUGAGGUAACGGCUCACCUAGGCAAUGAUAGGUAGGCGGCCUUAACGGGUGGUCGCCCACACUGGGAUUGAGAUACGGCCCAGACUCCUACGGGAGGCAGCAGUCGAGAAUAGUCUACAAUGGUCGGAAGACUGAUAGUGCGACGCCGCGUGAACGAUGAAUCCCUUCGGGGUGUAAAGUUCUUUUAUAUGUGAGCAGUGCUUCUUAUAUUAACAGUAUGGGGAGAGAGAUAUUAGCAUAUGAAUAAGCAACGGCUAACUCCGUGCCAGCAGCCGCGGUAAACU
rnacentral:rRNA from 1 species